GCAAUCUUAGUUUAGGGGUAAAAUUCGAGUGCGUAAUUCUCCUCAUCGACUGGGCAAUCAGACUCACUGUUUGCAGGCUUCCCAGUCCCACCCUGACUUUGCUCGAGUCCCGGGUUCGAGUCCCGGAGGUUGCA